AUGCUCACUUUGGCAGCACAUAUACUAAAAUUGGAACAAUACAAAGAAUAUUUGUAUGGUGCAUGCAAAAUGAUGAAGUGCAAAUUUGUGAAAUGUUCCAUACUUUU